AGCAGCCGCGGUAAUUCCAGCUCCAAUAGCGUAUAUUAAAGUUGUUGCAGUUAAAAAGCUCGUAGUUGAAUUUCGGGACCAUCAUGUCGGUCGUGCCUCGGUACGUACUGGCAUUGUUGGUUUCUACCUUCUGACGAACCAUGAUGUCAUUUAUUUGGUGUCGUGGGAAAUCAGGACUGUUACUUUGAAAAAAUUAGAGUGUUUAAAGCAGGCUCACGCUUGAAUACAUUAGCAUGGAAUAAUGAAAUAGGACGUUUGAUUCUAUUUUGUUGGUUUCUAGGAUCGACGUAAUGAUUAAUAGGGAUAGUUGGGGGCAUUAGUAUUCAAUUGUCAGAGGUGAAAUUCUUGGAUUUAUUGAAGACUAACUACUGCGAAAGCAUUUGCCAAGGAUGUUUUCAUUAAUCAAGAACGAAAGUUAGGGGAUCGAAGACGAUCAGAUACCGUCGUAGUCUUAACCAUAAACUAUGCCGACUAGGGAUCGGAUGAUGUUAAUUUUUUAAUGACUCA
rnacentral:rRNA from 1 species